ensembl:lncRNA LINC01020 long intergenic non-protein coding RNA 1020
AGAAUACUGUGCUGAGGCCCCAAAACAGAAAGGAAAGCUCACCACCAGAAUGUGCCUUUUCCUUAUCAAAAAGAAUUGCUGCCCCUUACAGGACAGGAGGACUCCAAUUGUGACCAAGUUGGAGCAGCCUUGAGCCACAACUCAGACUUAUUUUCAUUCUCUGCUCAUUGGCCAUUAGGAACCCGAUCCUUAUGGUAUGUUCACACUGUCUCCAGGCUGGGCACAGUGGCUCACACUUGUAAUCCCAGCACUCUGGAGGCCAAGGUGGGUGGACGGCUUGAACUCAGAGUUUGAGACCACCGUGAGCAACAUGACAAAACGCUAUCUCUACAAACAAUAUAAAAAUUAGCCUGGUGUGGUGGUGCACGCCUGUGGUCCCAGCUACUAGGGGCUGAUGUGGGAGGAUUGCUUGAGCCUGGAAAGUGGAGGUUGCAGUGAGCUGAGAUUGCACCACUGCACUCCAGCCUGGGUGACACAAGGAGACGCUGUCUCAACCUGCAGUGACCUGCUGCUACCAGAACUGACUCGCUUCAAAGUGACGGAUGAAACCCAUAUGGAGAUAUUCCUGGGGUGGGUAGGCCAGUUGGAAGACAGAGUGUUUACACCUGAGAGAGGACUUGAGAAUUUUACUCAGUCACGUUGCUCACUGCUGCGCACUCCUGCAGACGCAUCCCAGUGGACUCUGCGCUGCAUCCCCAGAGUACAGCGAGUUUCCCGCCUCCCGUUAGAGAUCCAACACAUAUUUUUUUUGAAAGAAGAAACUGAUGGAAGACAGGAAGCAAAAAGGAGAGGAAGGAAAGGGAUAGGAAGGAGGGGAAGGAAAGGGAAAGGAAGGAAAAGAAAGGAAAGUGAACUUGAAAUCCUACAAGGUCUCAAAGUCAAAAAACAUGAUUGCUGUUUUAGAGAAUUGAAGAUCCUUCAUCUUCAAGAAUCUGAAAUCUACCAUGAUCUUCACAUGUAGCCAAACACAAUGGGAUGUAGUCAUUUAAGAGUGCUGUGAAGGCAGUGUAUGUGUACACAGAAGCCCAAAAGGCUAAAAUUGGGUGGAGAAGGAGAGAAAGUUGGGUAAAAAAUGAAGUCAUCAUAGUUGGGUGGACAGAUACUUGAUCAGUGGGCCAGACACACCACCACAUGACCACGGCAAAGCGGCAGACAUCACUCCAUCCUUGGUCCCACAUUUUAAGAGAGAAAUAGCAAUAACUGUUCCAAUUUUAUCUCCUGCAUAUUUGUUAAGGGAUAAUCUACAAAACAGGCACAUCGACUUGGAGGUCGUAGAUGAAAGCUAACUGACUAUAGAGCACUAAAUUUUUAAAUUCCAACCCAAAGACAAAUAGACUUCAUAUUUUACAUUACUCUGAUGUGGAAUGAGAAAAGAGCUCUAGUGACAUUUCAAUUUAUCAUAGCUAAUCAUAUGAACAUUAUUAUAUAAAUGGGGAUUCUAAAGCACUAGGUUUUAAAAAGCCUUAAAGGAUAAUUUUAAAAUACCCUCAAAAAUGUAUAAAGCCAUGCACGGAAAUCCUUAUGUCUCCCAAUUUCUUGCUGAAGUGUCAAAACCAAUGCAACAUGAAAAGAAAUUAUCGAAUUUGUAAAAUAUAAAGAGGGUGUAGUUAUGUGCCUGAAACGUGGAGCAGCUUUGGCAGAAGACUGAGCAGUCACAACCUACUCGCUAUUGGGAAGCCUCUGUAGAAAGAGGGGCAGUGCCUCUCAGCCCCCGAAUUUCCAGGGCCCAUGAGAAGGUCUUGGAUCCAGGUGUCUGAGGACCAAAGAUGAGCUGAGUGAGCAGAAAUUCUUCUUGGUCAUGUUCACCCAGGUUUGGGGGAGGGUACACUCAAUGCAUCACCAAAGGAGUGCUGUCAAUUGUUAAUGUCUUCAUCAAUGAAUGAAAAGCAGUUGAAAUACCAUUAGUUAACAGAUUGCCCAAUGAAGUCGAUGACAACUGUGAUAACAAGUUACUCACUAUCACAGCGUCUCCAAGAGAUGAACAGUGGAUGAUGCUUCCAAAGCACAGAUGUCCCUCUCCUCCUCAACCUUCUCUCCCCAGAAAGAUGUCAACACUGUGGAGAUUGUGCUAUGAAGAUACCUGGUGUGGCAUUGCAAUAGAUGAAAUAUUAAGGGCAAUUCAACAAUUUUCUGAACAAAUACAUGGAUUUAACUUGAAGUUGAAUUUAAUUUGACUUCAAGAAAAAUUAUAUUUCUGGUCCUCCUA